AACAAUGUUUGAGUUUUUUUUUUGUCAUUUUUGGUAGAUGAAUUCCUUUCAUGGUGUUCAAAACCUCAAAAAGCACCAAUGCAGGUAACCCUGGUGUCCUGUCAGGAACAUGUAGAGACAGAUCCCCAUC